CAAAACCAAGAACCUGGAACCUACCCUGUCACAGGUUCCGGGGUCUGUUCCAGGUUCCUACAGGUUCUUUUUUUUUUUUCAUUUUCAAAAUAAACUAUGCAACAAUUGCUCAAUCCCGCUAUUGGGUAAGAUUUUAAGGAAAAGCUGUGUUUGAUGUUAUAAAACAGCAUUUUCAGGUUCCAACAGGUCCUAAUGAGGUUAAAACAUUAAAAUCAGACUGCCUUUGUUUGAGCAACUGCACAUAGGUUUAAGUAGAAUGUAAAACCAAAAACAUAGUAACUCAUUUCUCGAAGAAAACUAUGUAAACACAACCAUAUAGCCCAGCAUAUCAGAAAUAUACAUUUUAUUUUGGAUUCUAGUAAUUUGCUUUUCAUAAACACUACAUCCCUUUACAAAAAAAUGGGCAACAAAUAAAUUGUGAAAAGCUGAAAAUGGUAGAACAAACAGUACUUGUCCCAUUCAAGGAAGAAGUCACUGUGAAUAGAAAAAUGGAGGAAUUGUACAAUGGGUUCAAGAAUAAACUUACGACAAAGUGGGGAUAAUUGAGAGUCGAAGUUUCGUAGUCCCCUCCUUCUCCACAAAUGUUAAUUCCAUACAACCUGGUCUUCUGUGUUGUUCACAACUUUGAGAUAGCAAUAGCUCUGCUUUUCCAACUCAACUGUUUACAUAUAUUUGAACAUCAGAAUCCAUCCAUUAACAUGAGAGAGCUAGAAAGGAAGGCCCUCCUAGGUCACAAAGUAAGAAAAAGCUGACAUAAACAGACAUUUUUCAUAUAUCAAACUCUCCAUAUAAUCAUCUAAUGCAGUAUAUACGAGCAAACAUUAAAAGAUCAUGCUUCUGGAUAUCUAACCUAAUUUUACCAGUCAAAAUGCAAACAAGAUAAAAUUUGAAUCUUCCCCUUAUCACGGAGAAGAAUGAACAAUUUAUUCCAUUAUUAAGGACGAAAGAGACCGUUAUGUAGUUUAUGUCCAUAAGCACAGAUAACCAAAUUAUGAAAGGAAAACAAGGGUGCAAUACAAGUACAUGAGCAUUACUAAAUGCAGAAAUGACGUGACAACAUGCCUUCCCCUGCAAAUAAAGAGUCCAAGUUCACUUUCAACUAGCAAAAGGAAUGUUAAACAAGUAUUUGGCCCUCAACCAAAUAAAAACCUCAGUCAUUGGCCUCCUUAACAACAGGUCCAGAA
rnacentral:lncRNA from 1 species